rnacentral:rRNA from 1 species
AGUGAACGCUGGCGGCGUGCCUAAUACAUGCAAGUCGAACGAGUGGCGCACGGGUGAGUAAUGUAUAUCUAAUCUCCCCUACACUAGAGGAGAUAAGUUUGAAAAGGCUGCUAAUACUCUAUAGUUUAGGAUGAGGGUAUAUUGUAUCAGCUAGUUGGUGAGGGAUUGGCUCACGAAGGCUAGGACGCAUAACUGGUCUGAGAGGAUGUUCAGUCACACUGGAACUGAGACACGGUCCAGACUCCUACGGGAGGGAGCAGUAGGGAAUAUUGCUCAAUGGGGGAAACGCUGAAGCAGCAACGCCGCGUGGAGGAUGACACUUUUCGGAGCGGAAACUCCUUUUGUUAGGGAAGCGGUACCUAACGAAUAAGCACCGGCUAACUCCGUGCCAGCAGCCGCGGUAAUUC